AGGCCGGAAGGUGACCCUCGAAAAGUGCUUCAGAAACCGAACUUCGCUCCACAGCCUCCGAACAAACAGACAUUCAGUUCAUAAAAAAGAAAGACUUAUAUAGAGGAUUUAAAACCUCUGUUCGGAAUAGUCCGCACUGCAAGGCUAUUCAAAUUCGCAACGUGUAAUGACGAACUACUGUCUCCGAGGCGUAUGUAGAUAUUCGGCCGGCGUAAUAAUACUUUUCGCCUCGAGAGGUGCCACGGUUGAAGCGUCAUCAGAAGGAACGAAUCAGCUAACUGCUAUGUCAGCUGAGAUGAGGAGUAAACGGAAGUAGCAUGGCUACCGAAGGAGCUGGUCGACCAUCUAGUAGUACCGGGGAAGACGAAAUCUCGACCGAAAAUGUACAAAAAAAAGACAUCUUCGAAACGCAAGUUGUGUUACAUGCAUAUAUCUUCGGUCAAGCAUGAAGAAACACAGCAUUUCACCAAUAUACGGUGGAAUACAUAUCGAAAUUUUCGGCAGCGGCUAGAAUUGAAGGGUGAGUGCAGAGACGUAGCAGAACAUGUAUUGAGUUGGAGUUUGACGAAAUUCCCGAGGAUGCGGCUCUCCAUCCCACAUGCUACCGGAGGUUUAUUGACAAGCGGGAAAUUGAACGAGUCACACGGCGUGUCUUGCGAGAGGCAGAGAGGGGAGAUGGCCAACAAGACCCCCGAACUAGCCAGGCUACCUCCGCUUUAUCGGCUGUGACCACCACUCCGACCAGGAAACUGCGAUCCAGAUCAAGCUUGGCCAUCACGAGCUCUGGCCCCGUUCUUCCUGCUGUCUGCAUGAUUUGCAAGAAAGACAGCAAAUUUAUCGUCGCGAGUGGCAGACGUCAAAGAGAACGAAAACACAGACUUUAACCGCAGGUAAGAUUACUCUCACCCCCACCACACAGUCUAUGCGAAUGCAUCCCAUCCCCCAAAACACACACACACACACACACACACACACACACACACACACACACACACACACACACACACACACACACACACACACACACACAGAGAUGUUAGUAGAAGUUGACUGACUAUCUAGCCCACACUGCUGCACAAUCAUUGUUUUUUUUGUCUAAUUCUAAUAUGAAUGCACGUGUGAAUUGGCAUAAUGUGUUAUGUGUGUGGGUGUGAAAUUACAUUCCAAUAGCCUGCAAAACAUCCCCAUGCCUAUAGUACCCCCAGUGUUUUAGGUUUUAGAUGUUUAAAUGAAUCACACUUUGUCUUAAAUAGGAUAGGGUAUGUUUAUAUGGAUGUCAAAGCAUGCCUGAUGUUGAUAUGACUCUGAAUAUCUGUUCAGAAAUGUGGCUCCUCAGCCUGAUGGCCUGUCUGGUUAAGACACUGCUUCUGCCAUCCCAUCCCCCGUGCCAUUCCCCUACCCCCCACUGCCCCCCUCUCUCACUUGUACACUUGGGAUUUUUCCGCUUCUGUCCCUGGGCAGCCUCAGUGACCAGGCUCAAGAGGUGUGUCCUGGCUGUGCUGUACAUCUGUGUGCUUAACCCCUUAGCACAGCACCUAUGUUAUAACCUUACUGUCACCAAAAUUUUAAUAUGUAUGUCUUAAUCUGUUACUCUGCACUGUCAUAGCAAUGUUGUUAUGAUGUAGUUUUCAGCAAAUAGUGAAUAAGCCCGCUGGCAACCCCAUCUGCACUGCAGUAAGAGGCUACGGAAUGCUUUUUUGGGGGGUGCAACACCCAUCGCCAUUUUUUUUUUUACAAUACCACUCCACCAGGAAAAAUGUCUAAUUGUUUGCCUGUCUAUUUAUUCAUUCUUUUUUCUUUUCUUUUGUACAAGGCAAGUUGCAGGAAGCAGCUGAAGUAAAGGAAGCCAAGAGCAUCCUCAUUCACAUCAAGGACAGAGACUGUGUGGCUCUGGAGGUGCAGUACCACAGAAGUUGCUACAGAGAGUACACAAGGUUUUUGAGUGAGCCUGUCAGAACAGAGAAAGAACAGAUUGGGCCAACAUUUGAUCUGAGCUACAAGUUAUUCUGCGAGAGGGUAAUCCGCUAAAGGCUACUGAUCAACCAAGAGGUGCUGAGGAUGAGCCAACUGAGGAAGGCCUUUAUUGCCCUUGUGCAGUCAAGUGAAGGUGUUGAUGCUUCAACCUACAGACAGGAUAUAUUGAAGAAGAGGCUCAGUCGUGAUUUUCCUCAGCUAGUGUUCCACACCCCCGCCAAACGCAACACAUCUGAACUGGUUUUUGCUGAGAACUUGUCGACGAAUGCAGUCUUGAACUUGUUACCAUCAGGUGCGGAGACGACUCAGUCCAGCGAAAUGAGCCAGACAGACAGCGACACAGAAAGGAGGAAGUCAAAGCAACCAACCACAGCAGAGGAGACACGGACACUUUACACAGCAGCUUUGCUUUUGAAGAGGCUGCUUAGUCACAGUCCUGGCAUGUCAUGCCCAUGGCCCCCAACUGCAGUAAACUUCAAUCUCACUGAAGUCAUUUGCUGUGGCAUGCGCAAAAGAUGUGUACCUGGAUGCUUUCACACAGUUCAUGAAAAUGCCGGUUCAUGUGUAUGCCACUUGUUUUGAUUUUUUUAUUUGUUGUAUAGUUAUUAGUGAAUAAAUGAAUACAUGAA